GACGAACGCUGGCGGCGUGCCUAAUACAUGCAAGUAGAACGCUGAAGGAGGAGCUUGCUUCUCUGGAUGAGUUGCGAACGGGUGAGUAACGCGUAGGUAACCUGCCUGGUAGCGGGGGAUAACUAUUGGAAACGAUAGCUAAUACCGCAUAAUAUUGACUAUUGCAUGAUAGUCAGUUGAAAGGUGCAACUGCACCACUACCAGAUGGACCUGCGUUGUAUUAGCUAGUUGGUGGGGUAACGGCUCACCAAGGCGACGAUACAUAGCCGACCUGAGAGGGUGAUCGGCCACACUGGGACUGAGACACGGCCCAGACUCCUACGGGAGGCAGCAGUAGGGAAUCUUCGGCAAUGGACGGAAGUCUGACCGAGCAACGCCGCGUGAGUGAAGAAGGUUUUCGGAUCGUAAAGCUCUGUUGUAAGAGAAGAACGAGUGUGAGAGUGGAAAGCCCACACUGUGACGGUACCUUACCAGAAAGGGACGGCUAACUACGUG
rnacentral:rRNA from 1 species